GUGGGGAAUAUUGGACAAUGGGCGCAAGCCUGAUCCAGCCAUGCCGCGUGAGUGAAGAAGGCCUUAGGGUUGUAAAGCUCUUUCACCCGCGAAGAUGAUGACGGUAGCGGGAGAAGAAGCCCCGGCUAACUCCGUGCCAGCAGCCGCGGUAAUACGGAGGGGGCGAGCGUUGUUCGGAUUUACUGGGCGUAAAGGGCGCGUAGGCGGCGCGACAUGUCAGGGGUGAAAGGCCCGGGCUCAACCUGGGAAUUGCCUUUGAAACUGUCGUGCUGGAGACCGGGAGAGGAUGGCGGAAUUCCCAGUGUAGAGGUGAAAUUCGUAGAUAUUGGGAAGAACACCGGUGGCGAAGGCGGCCAUCUGGACCGGAUCUGACGCUGAGGCGCGAAAGCGUGGGGAGCAAACAGG
rnacentral:rRNA from 1 species